ensembl:misc_RNA
UUGUCAGUCCCAGAAGGAGGAUGUCCUCUAUCCUAUAAGCACAUAGGCAGUGGCAGUGCAAACAUCCUCCGCAUCUCUCAUCAAUGUGCUUCCACCAUGACAAAAUGGGGAACACUUCUAAGGGCAAAGAGAAGUUCAUUCUCCAUGUUCAUUCAAUUCUUGGCCUCU